rnacentral:lncRNA from 1 species
AACAUAAAAGUUUAUUAAACUAGUUCAGGACAUUACAUCAGCUAUGCAUCAGCUUUGCAUCCUUGUAGAAAUUUUAAGACCUUGAUAUUACAACAUGUCUAGAUUUUAUGUAUAAAAUGUAGAAAUUCCAACAUGAAAGAAGCAAAAAACUGUUUGCACUUCCAUCUUGAGAAGUUACUUAGACCCAAUUAAAAGGCUAUCAUUAAG